rnacentral:rRNA from 1 species
UACGUAGGUGGCAAGCGUUUGUCCGGAAUUAUUGGGCGUAAAGAGCUCGUAGGCGGUCUGUUGCGUCCGCUGUGAAAACUCGGGGCUUAACCCCCGAGCCUGCAGUGGAUACGGGCAGACUAGAGGUAGGUAGGGGAGAAUGGAAUUCCCGGUGUAGCGGUGAAAUGCGCAGAUAUCGGGAGGAACACCGGGUGGCGAAGGCGGUUCUCUGGGCCUUACCUGACGCUGAGGAGCGAAAGUGUGGGGAGCGAACAGG